GAUGUUUUUAAUUGUGAUGAUGAAAUUCCAGCUCAAGUUAACUUAAGCAAAAGUAAACAAGCAAAAUUCCAAAAAGGGAGUUUACUUUCUUACAUAAUUUCAGAGAACAAAGAUGGGUGUCUUGCUAGCUUCAGUCAUAGCUGGACCCAGGUGCUCAAAUCUCUCUCUUUCUCUCUCUUCUUUCUUCAUUGUCUGAUAGCUUCAGGCAUACACAGUAAACCCUCAGCUCAUGAUUUCAGAGUAAGAGAGAGCCUCCUCUUGGACCAACAACUCUAGACUGGGAAAUGGGGCACCACAGUUGGCCAGACAUGGGUUGCAUUCCCCCAAAGCCAGGGGAUAGGUUGACCAGCAGCUUCACAGGACCCACAUGGGGCAGAUGGGAUGCAAGGCUGACAAACUAUCAGUGAGACUCUGUGGAUAGAAAGCAUGAGUAGGCGCCAAACAUUUCACGUAAGCAGCGAAUAUGCAGGCUUCCUCUUUGCAUCUCACCCAACUAUGCUUAAAAUGGCUUAGGAGUCCAUGUGGUGGGAAACUGAGGCCUCCCACCAACAGCCAGCACCAACCUGCCAGGCAUGUGGGUGCACCACCUCAGAGGUAAAUCCUCCAGCCCCAGUUCAGCCUCUAAUGACACAACCCCAGCUGAUACCCUGACUGCAACCCCAUGAAAUCCCUGAGCCAGAACCACCCAGCUAAGCCACUCCUGAAUUCCUGACCCACAGAAACUAUGAAAUAAUAAAUGUUCAUUGUUGUUUCAAGCCACUAAGUUUUGGGGUCAUUUGUUACACAGCAGUAGAAAUCUGAUACAGGCAUAUUGUGGUCCCUUCCUCCCUUCCCAGGGACAGAGUCACUUUGGAAAGCUUCCUUGGAUCAUUUUCAAAGCACUUCUCAAUAACUAUCUUAGUUCUUGUUACAAAGUUUCAGUUUCACAAAUGGACUCACACGGAUAUCACAGGCUGCUCCAACCCUCAACAGUGAAUUUGCCGAUAAAACAAAAUCAGGGACUAGGUGUGGUGGCUCAUGCCUG
rnacentral:lncRNA from 10 species